AGUGAACGCUGGCGGUAGGCCUAACACAUGCAAGUCGAACGGCAGCACAGUAAGAGCUUGCUCUUACGGGUGGCGAGUGGCGGACGGGGGAGGAAUACAUCGGAGUCUACUGUUUCGUGGGUGAUAACGUAGGGACACUUACGCUAAUACCGCAUACGACCUACGGGUGAAAGCAGGGGAUCUUCCGACCUUGCGCGAGUGAAUGAGCCGAUGUCGGAUUAGCUAGUUGGCGGGGUAAAGGCCCACCAAGGCGACGAUCCGUAGCUGGUCUGAGAGGAUGAUCAGCCACACUGGAACUGAGACACGGUCCAGACUCCUACGGGAGGCAGCAGUGGGGAAUAUUGGACAAUGGGCGCAAGCCUGAUCCAGCCAUACCGCGUGGGUGAAGAAGGCCUUCGGGUUGUAAAGCCCUUUUGUUGGGAAAGAAAAGCAGCAGGUUAAUACCCCGCUGUUCUGACGGUACCCAAAGAAUAAGCACCGGCUAACUUCGUG
rnacentral:rRNA from 1 species